rnacentral:rRNA from 1 species
UACGGGGGGGGCAAGCGUUGUUCGGAAUUACUGGGCGUAAAGGGCUCGUAGGCGGCCAACUAAGUCAGACGUGAAAUCCCUCGGCUUAACCGGGGAACUGCGUCUGAUACUGGAUGGCUUGAAUCCGGGAGAGGGAUGCGGAAUUCCAGGUGUAGCGGUGAAAUGCGCAGAUAUCAGGAGGAACACCAAUUGCGAAGGCAGCUCGCUGGGACGUUACUGACGCUGAGACGCGAAAGCGUGGGGAGCAAACAGG